rnacentral:rRNA from 1 species
GAUAAACGCUGGCGGCGUGCCUAAUGCAUGCAAGUCGAACGGAGUGGCAAACGGGUGAGUAACACGUGGGAAUCUGCCCAGAGGUGGGGAAUAACUCUCUGAAAGGAGAGCUAAUACCGCAUAAGGUUGGAGGAGCCUGCGGCUGAUUAGCUAGUUGGUGGGGUAAAAGCCUACCAAGGCGAUGAUCAGUAGCUGGUYUKAGAGGAUGGACAGCCACMUNGGGAYUGAGAUACGGCCNAGACUYCUACGGGAGGCAGCAGCCAGGAWUUUUCGGCAAUGGGGNCAACCCUGACCGAGCAACGCCGCGUGGGSGAAGAAAKUCUUCGGGAUGUAAAGCCYUUUUCUCMCCGAAGCGGUAGGUGAGGGAUAAGCAUCGGCUAACUACGUGCCAGCAGCCGCGGUWAUACGUAGGACGCAAGCGUUGUCCGGAAUUACUGGGCGUAAAGGGCGCGCAGGCGGUUCUUCAAGUCAGAUGUGAAAGCCCCCGGCUUAACCGGGGAGGGUCAUUUGAAACUGAAGGACUAGAGUGCAGUAGAGGCUAACGGAAUUCCCGGUGUAGUGGUGAAAUGCGUAGAUAUCGGGAGGAACACCAGUGGCGAAGGCGGUUAGCUGGGCUGUAACUGACGCUGAGGCGCGAAGGCUAGGGGAGCAAACAGGAUUAGAUACCCUGGUAGUCCUAGCAGUAAACGAUGGAUACUCGGUGUUGGGCAGUGCCACAGCCAACGUGGUAAGUAUCCCGCCUGGGGAGUACGGUCGCAAGAUUAAAACUCAAAGGAAUUGACGGGGGCCCGCACAAGCAGCGGAGCGUGUGGUUUAAUUCGACGCAACGCGAAGAACCUUACCAGGGCUUGACAUGCARAUGCUGCAUGGCUGUCGUCASCUCSUGUCGUGAGAUGUUGGGUUAAKUCCCGCAACGAGCGCAACCCCUGUUUCUAGUUGAAGUCUARARAGACUGCCGGARAAAACCNGRAGRAAGGUGGGRAURACSUCAAKUCAGCAUGGCUCUUACGUCCUGGGCUACACACACGCUACAAUGGGCGGUACAAAGGGUUGCCAAGCCGCGGGGUGGAGCUAAUCCCAAAAGCCGUUCUCAGUUCGGAUAGCAGGCUGCAACUCGCCUGCUUGAAGUCGGAGUUGCUAGUAACCGUGGGUCAGCACACUACGGUGAAUAUGUUCCCGGGCCUUGCACACACCGCCCGUCA